rnacentral:rRNA from 1 species
AUUGAACGCUGGCGGCAGGCCUAACACAUGCAAGUCGAUCGAGUGGCGGACGGGUGAGUAAUGUCUGGGAAACUGCCUGAUGGAGGGGGAUAACUACUGGAAACGGUAGCUAAUACCGCAUACCAUCAGAUGUGCCCAGAUGGGCUUGGCUUGUUGGGGGGGUAACGCUUCACCAAGGCGACGAUCCCUAGCUGGUCUGAGAGGAUUACCGUCCGCACUUGAACUGGUACACGGUCCAGACUCCUACGGUAGGCAGCAGUGGGGAAUAUUGCACAAUGGGCGCAAGCCUGAUGCAGCCAUGCCGCGUGUAUUAAGACGGCCUUCGGGUUGUAAAGUACUUUCAGCGGGGAGGCGUUACCCGCAGAAGAAGCACCGGCUAACCCCGUGCCAGCAGCCGCGGUAAUAC